AUCUAGGCCAUCCCAACCGCAGAUAUUUUCUUGUUGUCCAUUUGAAAAGAUAAAGAUUUAUUUUUUGAAAACUUAAGAUUUGCGUCAUUCACUGAAUCCGGGUGAAGUAGUAUUAGCAUGUACAUUUCCCAAAGGUUUUAUGUUAGAACCAGACACUUGCCGUUUUGUUUUUUAUCCCAAAGUAUGAGCACGUGAGCCCCUGCAGGGUGGUGGGGACGGGUGUGUUUAAGAGGCUCCCCCGUCCCUGGGAUUCUCCAGUGUUCUCACCUGGACAAUUCCAUGAACAGAGGAACCUGGUGGGCUACAGCCCCACUGGGUUGCAAAGAGUCAGAUACGAC
ensembl:lncRNA